UACAGAGGGUGCGAGCGUUGUCCGGAAUCACUGGGCGUAAAGGGCGCGUAGGUGGUUCGGUAAGUCGGAUGUGAAAUCUCCAGGCUCAACCUGGAGGGGUCAUUCGAUACUGCCGUGACUAGAGUUCGGUAGGGGAGUGUGGAAUUCCUGGUGGAGCGGUGAAAUGCGCAGAUAUCAGGAGGAACACCCGUAGCGAAGGCGGCACUCUGGGCCGAUACUGACACUGAGGAGCGAAAGCGUGGGGAGCGAACAGG
rnacentral:rRNA from 1 species